AGGGAUGUAGCUCAGCAGCAUAGCACCUGCCUGGCAAGCGUGAGGCCCUGAGUUUGAUUCCCAGUACCCCUU
rnacentral:tRNA from 1 species